rnacentral:rRNA from 1 species
GAUCCUGGCUCAGGAUGAACGCUGGCGGCGUGCUUAACACAUGCAAGUCGAGCGAAGCACUUAGGAAAGAUUCUUCGGAUGAUUUCCUAUUUGACUGAGCGGCGGACGGGUGAGUAACGCGUGGGUAACCUGCCUCGAUACAGGGGGAUAACAGUUAGAAUGACUGCUAAUACCGCAUAAGACCACAGCACCGCAUGGUGCAGGGUAAAACUCCGGUGGUAUGAGAUGGACCCGCGUCG